UAUUCGCAUUUUUGUAAUUCCUGUUUUUACUUUCUUGUUGAAGCCAAUUUGAUAAACAAAUCUGGUGAAUUAUUAUCAUUCUCUGUUCUGUAGUUGCUCAGCUCACAACCAAAAUCAAGCAUUUAUCAUCAGUUUUACAUAAAAAGGACAAGCAUUCCCGGAAAGGACUCCAUGAAAUGGUUCAACUAAGAAAGAAACUGCUGAAGUAUCUCCGAAGAACAGACUGGGAUUCCUACUGUCUUGUUCUCUCCAAGCUCGGCCUCAGGGACAUUCCUGAUUACAAGAUUCCUGAUUACAAGAGCUAAUAGAUGAAGGGCCUCUUUUUAAGGAAUCAAGAGCUUGUUGCCUGCUUGUCUUCGUCCUUGAUGGGAUCUAAGGCUUUGUUUGUGGAGAAAUUAAAUCGUGCGGGCAUCGAACGGCGUCUGGAUGCCAAUCAGAGUGUGCCACGUCAUGUGUAUUGAUACAUAGCUGUGUACUGGACCAAUACACAUACUAUGUAUCAAUACACAGCUGUGUAUUGGGUGAUAUGAUGCGUUUAAUUGGACUCUGGAGUUCGGCGUCUGCUCGUCAUAGUUUCUCGUUGUGACAGUUUUUAUUACUGUUUUUUCAUUGCUUUUUAAAAAAAUUUGGACUAGAAAGCUACCCUAAAAAGCAGUAUG